GAGUUAUAGACGACUCGACGCACUAGCCUCUUCGUGACCCUGCCUAGCUGAAGUCUAAAGAAUAGACUAUAUGUCCCUACUGGGAAUUGGAACUCAAGGUCUCCACCAACUUCAAGCCACCACAUUUGUUGAAGAUAUGCAACAGUUUGAAACCUUGAUUCAUCCGUGGAAAUAUAAUUCCAAUAUCUCCGAUCAUCAAUACCAGUAAUCCUCAUUCCCUUCGAACAAAUUGCCAAGCAAAC
rnacentral:misc_RNA from 1 species